rnacentral:rRNA from 1 species
GACGAACGCUGGCGGCGUGCCUAAUACAUGCAAGUCGAGCGCAGGAAAUCGACGGAACCCUUCGGGGGGAAGUCGACGGAAUGAGCGGCGGACGGGUGAGUAACACGUAAAGAACCUGCCCUCAGGUCUGGGAUAACCACGAGAAAUCGGGGCUAAUACCGGAUGGGUCAUCGGACCGCAUGGUCCGAGGAUGAAAGGCGCUUCGGCAUCGCCUGGGGAUGGCUUUGCGGUGCAUUAGCUAGUUGGUGGGGUAAUGGCCCACCAAGGCGACGGUGCAUAGCCGACCUGAGAGGGUGAUCGGCCACACGGGGACUGAGACACGGCCCAGACUCCUACGGGAGGCAGCAGUAGGGAAUCUUCCACAAUGGACGAAAGUCUGAUGGAGCAACGCCGCGUGAACGAUGAAGGCCUUCGGGUCGUAAAGUUCUGUUGUAAGGGAAGAACAAGUGCCGCAGGCAAUGGCGGCACCUUGACGGUACCUUGCGAGAAAGCCACGGCUAACUACGUGCCAGCCGCCGCAGUAA